rnacentral:rRNA from 1 species
CACAAUAAGGCGGAUAAGGUGCCAGAGGUGUACGACCUGUAUGCCAUGGCCCACACUGGCUCUUACAAGAAAGUCAAGGCUUUCUCUCAGUCUGACCUCGAUGAUGCAAACAACUUCACCAACAUCUCCUCCCACAACAAGCUCGUGAGAUAUAGAGAUGAGGGGAAGGCGAGGAAAGGGGAGGACUUUAACCCGAGCCAGGGUCCCAUUGCUCCAGAGCUGGUGAUGAUAUCUGGUGGCGGGAGGUCCCAUGGCUCCAUAGCCAUUGGAGAUGGACUUAUCCGUUGUCCUAGCACUCUC